rnacentral:rRNA from 1 species
UACGGGGGGGGCAAGCGUUGUUCGGAAUUACUGGGCGUAAAGGGCUCGUAGGCGGCCAACUAAGUCAGACGUGAAAUCCCUCGGCUUAACCGGGGAACUGCGUCUGAUACUGGAUGGCUUGAGAUUGGGAGAGGGAUGCGGAAUUCCAGGUGUAGCGGUGAAAUGCGUAGAUAUCUGGAGGAAUACCGGUGGCGAAGGCGGCAUCCUGGACCGGCAUUGACGCUGAGGAGCGAAAGCUAGGGGAGCAAACGGG